rnacentral:rRNA from 1 species
CAGUCGUAUCGACGAGAAAUCAGCUCUUCGAGUGCGAACUUGUGGGCGUGCGUGAGCUUCGGUCUCGCUGUUUGCAACGUUUGUGCUUUUUGGGUGUACUUUUUCGUAUGAUAGGCCAACAUCAGUUUCGAACACCGUAAAAUGACCGGCGGAAUGUAGCUUCGAUCUCGUAUUGAAGUGUUAUAGCCUCUGGUAGAUGUGGUGAUCGGGACUGAGGAUUGCAACGAAUACCCUUCGGGCUAUCCGUCUGACCUCUGAAGGUUACUUAGGUGCCGAAAGCUUGCUUACGGUUAUUUAAGUUGACAGUCAAAAGGCUAGAACGUGAUUAAA